rnacentral:rRNA from 1 species
UACGUAGGGACCGAGCGUUGUCCGGAUUCAUUGGGCGUAAAGAGCUCGUAGGCGGCCACUCAAGUCGAAUGUGAAACCUCGAGGCUUAACCUCGAGCCUGCAUUCGAUACUGGGCGGCUAGAGUCUGGUAGGGGGAUCUGGAAUUCCUGGUGUAGCGGUGGAAUGCGCAGAUAUCAGGAGGAACACCGGUGGCGAAGGCGGGAUCCUGGGCCAGUACUGACGCUGAGGCGCGAAAGCCAGGGGAGCAAACGGG